rnacentral:lncRNA from 1 species
GUUCACGUUUGGUAGAAAUCCAGGAUAAUUUAAGAAAGUUAUCAAAAUUUAAAGACCUUUAACCACAUAGUGAAUACUUGUGGAUGAUGCUGACGACAGAAUGGUUUGCUCUGUCUGGCUUUUGCGACAAAGGUCGCAGGCUCGACAAAAAGAAACAUAAUCAUAACUAGACUUGCCAUAGCAAACAAUAGCGGAUGUCACCCUUCCCCCAAUUGCCACUAAGUGGCAUCCAUUUCAACAAUUUUUAACAGUGAUUUUACAUAUAUGCAUGGCAAUUCAUCUUUCUACAAAUUUUCAGAACAUUUGAAGCAUUUUGAAAAUUUUGAAUUUUUUUAUGUUUUCAUGGCAACGGCAGCCAUUUUGGAAAUUCCAACGC